rnacentral:rRNA from 1 species
GAUGAACGCUGGCGGCGUGCCUAAUACAUGCAAGUCGAGCGAACAGACGAGGAGCUUGCUCCUCUGACGUUAGCGGCGGACGGGUGAGUAACACGUGGAUAACCUACCUAUAAGACUGGGAUAACUUCGGGAAACCGGAGCUAAUACCGGAUAAUAUAUUGAACCGCAUGGUUCAAUAGUGAAAGACGGUUUUGCUGUCACUUAUAGAUGGAUCCGCGCCGCAUUAGCUAGUUGGUAAGGUAACGGCUUACCAAGGCAACGAUGCGUAGCCGACCUGAGAGGGUGAUCGGCCACACUGGAACUGAGACACGGUACAGACUCCUACGGGAGGCAGCAGUAGGGAAUCUUACGCAAUGGGCGAAAGCCUGACGGAGCAACGCCGCGUGAGUGAUGAAGGUCUUCGGAUCGGAAAACUCUGUUAUUAGGGAAGAACAAAUGUGUAAGUAACUAUGCACGUCUUGACGGUACCUAAUCAGAAAGCCACGGCUAACUACGUG